AAAUCCAUAACUUUUGCUACAUAUAUUAACCAAGAAUAAACACAAGUAUUAAUUGCGAUAUAUACAUUCAACAUCAUAAUGGCAUUGUAAAAAGUAAAAUCACAAGUGUUCUAAACUCUGAGGAAAAUUCAGAACGGAAAUUCCAUAAUCAAACGACAACUGUCAUAUUCCAUGUAUUCCUGACUGGGUUGGUACAUGUAUUUUCUUGUGUAGAAAAGGUGGAUUGAAACCUGGUUUCAAAGCUAGCUAAAUCUUUCACUUGUAUGACAGUUGCAUCGAAUUAUAUAAAAUUGACAACAAUGUGUGAUCAAAACUAACAGAUAUGAUAGAUAAAAAUCCAUAACUUUUGCCAUAUAUAUUAAUCAAGAAUAAACACAAGUACAUGAUUGUAUUAAUUACGAUACAUACAUUCAACAUAUUGGACAUAAUGGCAAUAAAAAAGUAAAAUCACAAGUAGGAAUACAACAGUCGACAUUGUGUUAAAAUCUUAAUCAUUACAAAACCAAACACAUAGUAUGUACCAAAGAAGCACACAAAGGCCUAUAGACAAAGCUUAUAAGCAAUAUGAAAGCAAACAACAAACAUUAUCAUUGAACAAUAACACAAUGACACAAUGUUUAAGUACAGAUUCACUUCAAAUGGAUAUCUCUGAAAUAGACUAAACAUUAAAAAUAGUGUUCAUAAAGACAAGUACAAACAUAAUAUAACACGUUAUUAAGAUGAUAAACAAGGUCAGUUCCCAGAAUUCCUACAUCAAGACCAUCGUGUAUUAUUUGUGAAGUUGAUAAGGAAUAUUUAUCAACAAGGCCUUGGUACCUUUCGAUGAUGAUUUUUUUUUUUAGAAGAAAAAAAACUAGACGUGCUAGACAUUCUUUGACCUACUCCUGCUCAGACAGUGGUGACGUUUUACAAAGUCUUAGUAAAAGCUGCAAGCUCUUCAAUAUCCAAUAAGUUGGGAAAUGUAUAUCGCAUAUGCAGGUGACGUUGGUAUAUUGUUAUUACCGUAGAGGAAAUUGAUAAUUUCAAAAUUAAAAUCGUC
rnacentral:lncRNA from 1 species